rnacentral:rRNA from 1 species
UACGGGGGGGGCAAGCGUUGUUCGGAAUUACUGGGCGUAAAGGGCGCGUAGGCGGUUCGCUAAGUUGAAUGUGAAAACUCUGGGCUUAACCCAGAGCCUGCAUUCAAUACUGGCGGGCUAGAGUUCUGGAGGGGAUAGCGGAAUUCCUGGUGUAGCGGUGAAAUGCGUAGAUAUCAGGAGGAACACCGGUGGCGAAAGCGGCUUACUGGGUCUCUUCUGACGCUGAGGCACGAAAGCUAGGGUAGCGAACGGG